rnacentral:rRNA from 1 species
AUGUGCUAUUUAUGUCAGACUGCACUGCUCAGUUACAAGAUAUGGUGCAUACAACCUGAUGGGAAGAUAUAUUCUGUUGGUGAAGUUAAUGUUUAUCUUUCACUUGAGCGGCUCAAGCUACCAGUGGUGGAACUUCAGUUCUCCACUCAGGGUGGCUAUCUUUCUGGUUAUAAAUAUUUUCCUAUGGAUCUUGAGUUGCCUUUUGAUCCAGGAGACCAUAAGUUACUGUGGGUUCUUCUUAACAUUAGUGGUGCAUCCAUUGGAUAUAUACAUCUGCACAAGAAUAGAGGAGCUUUGCCAUAUCAUUUGCCUUGGUGGUGUACAACGCUACAUCUCACGGUGGAAGUUAUGCAAGUUGACAGUCGGUGUUUUUCUCUGGUUGUAUGGCUCCUCGGCAUCAUUGGAGAGUUUGAUCUCACCACAGUAUGGUGUUUAUUGGAGGACAAUAUGUCAAGGAGGGCUACUACAACUGAUAAGAAAGUAAGCAAAGUGAUUGGUUACUAUAUUCUUGCUGGUUCUGAUAUUCCAAGUGAUGGAACCAUAUUCCACUCUCAGAAAGCAUUAUACAUGUUUCCUGAACCCAGCUUUGAAUGGACGCUCACGAAGUGGCAUAUAUUUGAGAUAAAUUCCAACACGAAUAUCUUUCCAACAGUUUCGGUUGGAAACAAUUGCACACCAGGGAGUUUCAUAGUUGUCAAGUAUACUCUGCUCCUACCACAUUCCAUUGGUGUUCAUGGAGGAAUUAUGUUACAUACUCAGAACAUGCAUGGUCACCCAGCUUGCUCAGACUACUUGGAAUAUGUAUGCACAUCAUAUUAUCUUGACCCGAGGGACAGAGAAGACAACUCGAUUUUUCCAUCAGAUAUGGCAGUGAUCUUUGCGCAGCUGAAGUGUGACCGCGCUAAUAUUUAUUGGAGUAGUUGGCAUCACAUGUUUGGGGUUGACUGGCCAAACUCCUUUCUGCAGCAACAGGUUAUUAAGCUCGUAGGAGGAGUACCCGAGAGACAAUCUCCAUGGGACCCACGUGGUGUCCACUUCAUCGACAUUAUUGGACUUCUCAGUAAGCUGCUAGUACCACGGGAUCCUGGUGGUUCACAUCAUCGGCUUGAGGACAAGCCGCAUUUUAAGGGGGCGAGAAUGUCAUGCCUUAGGGGCCAUGCCCCUUUUACUCUUCGUGGGACUUCUCUGGAAAAUGGGCUGUGGAGCUUGGGCUGGGCCUAG